rnacentral:lncRNA from 1 species
CUGCAAACACCCGCAUCGGACUCCCUCCCAUCGCGGCUUCCGGCGCGCGUGCGCUUUCAGGGAGCGCUGCUCCUCCCACCACGGCGCCUCCUUCUAUUUUCCUGCGAACAUCCAGGUGACAGGUGCUGGCGUGGGCAGCCAGCUCCGAGCGCUGACACCGAAGUUAGCAACGGGGCCAGGAGGAACUCCAGAAGUUCACGGGAAGGCACGUGGCAGGACGCGCCUGCGAAGCGCGCCGCAGGGAAAGCAUCAGGGUCUUUUCCAACGAGUCAGCUCUUCGCAUCAGGUGGCCACGCUCCACAGGCUAAACACCUGCCUCGAAGAAGCAAGUGUCCAGCCCAGCUGGCAGCCCAGGACCAGGGGAGGACCACGAUCCCUGCCUGGAGACUCCAUCUCUGCCCAGGACAUCUGCGCACUCGUCCAACUGGUCGACCCGCUUCCAUCCAUGCCCCUGCGGUGGGGAGCGCUGGCUGGAACCACAGGGAGCAGGGUGACCAGCUCAGACCCUUCCCUUAGAACAGGAGGUUCCAGAGGGGCCAGAACCCCUCACAGUUGUCACCCAGCUCUUCUCCUUCCCAAGACACAGUCCCCUCUCGUCUCUCCCUCUUCACCGGCUAAAAUUCCCUUUGAAAAGUGUGGGUGUAGGUCGCCUCACACACGCUAAGUAGUUUGCCCCAUCCUCAGGUCAGCCCAAGCCACUCACCGGGGUGGAAGGCGUGGCCAUGAGGCACCCCUCAAGGGUGCGUGUGCCCGUGGUGCAGAAAGCCACGCUCCAACAGCAGGCGUUUGCAGCAAAGUCAGCGCAUGUUUGGACUUUCCAGGUGGUGCAGUGAGAGAGGGUCCGCCUGCCAGUGUGGGGGAGGCAAGAGAUGAG